rnacentral:misc_RNA from 1 species
AUUUGGAAACAAUAAGAUUUACUACGAGUUUUGAAGAUUUUAUGCUAGUCCAAAUCCUAGUACCAGUCCAGCCCAUAGAAUUGGGCUGAGACUUAUACUAUCCACAGUGAUAAACCUAUUAGACUAUAAUCCAAGACAACCAACAGAAAUAGAGACCUAUAAGUGUGCUAAGGCCAAGAAGGCAAAAACCAGAGGUUGCGGGAACUCAAGAGGAGCAAUCCACAACAUUAGCACUUAGAGGGCGAUGAUAACUCCGAUUAACAAGUGUCCCAGUGACGCUAUACCCUUCCGGCCGUCAACGAGCAUAGAAAAGACGCUCACACCCCUGAAAUGACAAAACACAAAUGCUAGCCAUCAACAAAUACUUUUUCACUCAGCACAAACUGCAAACCGAUUCGAGUAAAAUUAUUCCCUUUUGAAGACACAGAUUGCAUGUAACACUCCAAACAAACCAAGAGAACCAUCGACAGUGGAUUUACCCAAAUCCUCCCUCAUCUGCACCAAUCCACCAUAAAAGAAAACAUAAAACUUAUUUAUGCACACAACCCUGACCAUAAGUAGGGAGGCACACCCAUUUCUAGGACAAAGGAGAAGAGUCUUGAAAUCAGGUGCCUCAAAGGGAAGGAAUUGGACGAGAGGACAAUCUCUCUCUACACGAUAGAUAGAGAGAAACUUUUGAGAACCUUCCUCACUUCGAAGUUAAUUAGGCGAGCACUAAAGAAACUAAUAUUCAUUGUAGAAAAGCAUACUUUCUUGGCUACUUUGUAUUGGCAAAGGCUUUUGAAGAAAACUCAUUUCAACUUUCUAGGGUCGAUGUUUAGGAACAGAAUUCUAUAUAUAAUGUAAAAAACAGGCGGGUUGGUGUUUGUCAAAAAUGGAAGUUUGGGAAGCAUAGUUUUAGAAUAUAAUUAAUUCUUUCAUCGGAUUCUUCUACAAGAAUUUAAUAGCAGGCAGUAUGUAUUAUCAGCCCAAUCAGAAGUGGAAUACAGAAUCAAUUCUUCCGGCAAUUACAAGCUUAGAAUCUCAUUCUUCCCUCAAACAUUUUCAUUCUUAUUUGGAAAUCUUAGUGCCGCCA